AAUGAUUCUAUUUUAGUGGAUUUCCUUCCUGGCUUGGUAGCCCCCAGACAUAGGUGAGUUUACACCGAACUGGGUUAACAAUUGCUUAUGUUUCUUGCAUUACUGUUCUCUAUCUUUUAUCCUGUUUGUAUUGUUCAGAUAUUAGUGUCGUGACAUUACCUUCGACAUCUCAUAUCUGAUACCAGAAUUUCAAAUACCUUCCCCUUG
rnacentral:lncRNA from 1 species